rnacentral:rRNA from 1 species
GGACCUGACUGCUAUCGGAUUGAUACUAAGCCAUGCGAGUCAUUGUAGCAAUACAAGGCAUACGGCUCAGUAACGCGUAGUCAACCUAACCUACGGACGGGAAUAACCUCGGGAAACUGAGAAUAAUGCCCGAUAGAACAUUAUGCCUGGAAUGGUUUAUGUUCCAAAUGAUUUAUCGCCGUAGGAUGGGACUGCGGCCUAUCAGUUUGUUGGUGAGGUAAUGGCCCACCAAGACUAUUACAGGUACGGGCUCCGAGAGGAGUAGCCCGGAGAUGGGUACUGAGACACGGACCCAGGCCCUAUGGGGCGCAGCAGGCGAGAAAACUUUGCAAUGUGCGAAAGCACGACAAGGUUAAUCCGAGUGGUUUCUGCUAAAGAAACCUUUUGUCAGUCCUAGAAACACUGAUGAAUAAGGGGUGGGCAAGUUCUGGUGU